rnacentral:rRNA from 1 species
GUCCUACGGGACGCAGCAGUGGGGAAUAUUGGGCAAUGGGCGCAAGCCUGACCCAGCAACGCCGCGUGAAGGAAGAAGGCUUUCGGGUUGUAAACUUCUUUUAAGAGGGAAGAGAAGAAGACGGUACCUCUUGAAUAAGCAUCGGCUAACUCCGUGCCAGCAGCCGCGGUAAUAUGGAGGAUGCGAGCGUUAUCCGGAUUUAUUGGGUUUAAAGGGUGCGUAGGCGGAUUUUUAAGUCAGCGGUAAAAUGUCCGGGCUCAACCCGGGCCGGCCGUUGAAACUGGGGAUCUUGAGUGGGCGAGAAG